UACGAAGGGUGCAAGCGUUACUCGGAAUUACUGGGCGUAAAGCGUGCGUAGGUGGUUCGUUAAGUCUGUCGUGAAAGCCCCGGGCUCAACCUGGGAAUGGCGAUGGAUACUGGCGGGCUAGAGUGCGGUAGAGGAGAGUGGAAUUCCCGGUGUAGCAGUGAAAUGCGUAGAGAUCGGGAGGAACAUCAGUUGCGAAGGCGGCCCUCUGGACCAGCACUGACACUGAGGCACGAAAGCGUGGGGAGCAAACAGG
rnacentral:rRNA from 1 species